AGUCGAGAAUUUUUCUCAAUGGGCGAAAGCCUGAAGGAGCGACGCCGCGUGGGGGAUGAAUGGCUUCGGCCCGUAAACCCCUGUCAUUUGUGACCAAACCUUUCGAUCUAAUAAGUCGAAAAUUGAUGGUAGCGGAAGAGGAAGGGACGGCUAACUCUGUGCCAGCAGCCGCGGUAAUACAGAGGUCCCAAGCGUUGUUCGGAUUCACUGGGCGUAAAGGGUGCGUAGGUGGUCGUAUAAGUUUGAUGUGAAAUCUCCGGGCUCAACCCGGAAAAUGCAUUGAAUACUAUUCGGCUGGAGGGUUGGAGGGGGGACUGGAAUACUUGGUGUAGCAGUGAAAUGCGUAGAUAUCAAGUGGAACACCAGUGGCGAAGGCGAGUCCCUGGACAACUCCUGACACUGAGGCACGAAAGCUAGGGGAGCAAA
rnacentral:rRNA from 1 species